GAUGAACGCUGGCGGCGUGCCUAAUACAUGCAAGUCGAGCGAACAGAUGAGGAGCUUGCUCCUCUGACGUUAGCGGCGGACGGGUGAGUAACACGUGGAUAACCUACCUAUAAGACUGGGAUAACUUCGGGAAACCGGAGCUAAUACCGGAUAAUAUAUUGAACCGCAUGGUUCAAUAGUGAAAGACGGUUUUGCUGUCACUUAUAGAUUGAUCCGCGCCGCAUUAGCUAGUUGGUAAGGUAACGGCUUACCAAGGCAACGAUGCGUAGCCGACCUGAGAGGGUGAUCGGCCACACUGGAACUGAGACACGGUCCAGACGCCUACGGGAGGCAGCAGUAGGGAAUCUUCCGCAAUGGGCGAAAGCCUGACGGAGCAACGCCGCGUGAGUGAUGAAGGUCUUCGGAUCGUAAAACUCUGUUAUUAGGGAAGAACAAAUGUGUAAGUAACUAUGCACGUCUUGACGGUACCUAAUCAGAAAGCCACGGCUAACUACGUG
rnacentral:rRNA from 1 species